rnacentral:misc_RNA from 1 species
GAUGAAGAACGUAGCGAAAUGCGAUAAGAAAUGUGAAUUGCAGAAUUCAGUGAAUCAUCGAAUCUUUGAACGCACAUUGCGCCCGCCAGUAUUCUGGCGGGCAUGCCUGUUCGAGCGUCAUUUCAACCAUCAAGCCCCCCCGGCUUGUGUUGGGGACCUGCGGCUGCCGCAGGCCCUGAAAAGCAGUGGCGGGCUCGCUGUCACACCGAGCGUAGUAGAUCUCAUCUCGCUCAGGGCGUGCUGCGGGUUCCGGCCGUUAAACCACCUUCAUAACCCAAGGUUGACCUCGGAUCAGGUAGGAAGACCCGCUGAACUUAAGCAUAUCAAUAAGCGGAGGA